UACGAAGGGGGCUAGCGUUGCUCGGAAUUACUGGGCGUAAAGCGCACGUAGGCGGCUUUCUAAGUCGGGGGUGAAAUCCUGGAGCUCAACUCCAGAACUGCCUUCGAUACUGGAAAGCUCGAGUCCGGGAGAGGUGAGUGGAACUGCGAGUGUAGAGGUGAAAUUCGUAGAUAUUCGCAAGAACACCUGAGGCGAAGGCGGCUAUCUGGCGGUGCACUGACGCUGAUGCGCGAAAGCGUGGGGAGCAAACAGG
rnacentral:rRNA from 1 species